ACACACACCUGUGAGGGAAUGACAGCGUGUGGAGCGACCAUGCUGUUGGAUUGAAUUCACCUGUCCAGAGAGGCCUUCUGGCCUGCCCUCCCAGGACAGUGAGUUCCAGAGGGAGAGCAAAUGCAGAUGCGGGAAGGUUCCCAGUGGCUGGCCCUCAUUUGUCCGUGGAGCGAGUAGCCCAGAGACCACAUCAGAGAUGUAACUGUAUCAUGACCUCUGCAAAGACAACGGAAACCCACAGGCCAAAUGCCUACAAAAACAAAAAAAAAGGGAGAAUUGCCCAUGAAGUGAAACAUUGGAAUAAGCAGUCAGUAACUAAAGAGGGAUGACUGGGAUUAUUCACCUGGUUGUUUUCCCAAAUCACAGAGAACAAUUGGAAAGGACCACGAGACCUGAAAAACCCUCCUUCUUCCCAUCUCUCUCCCACAUAUGGUGGGUUUUGCGGGUUAAAGGAUGUGUAAUAGGGCACACAUGAUC
rnacentral:lncRNA from 1 species